rnacentral:lncRNA from 1 species
UACAUUGUACUUACAUAUAAUAAUAAUAAGUCUUUGGGCCGGAGCAAGCCAGAGGUCCUGAGUUCAAUUCUCAGCAACCACAUGAUGGCUCAUAACCAUCUGUACAGCUACAGUGCACUCAUAUACAUAAAAUAAGUCUUUAAGAAAAAGUUGAUAACCGUCAAAGAAGAGAAUGUAGCAGUACUGAAGUUGGUUCUUUUUUGUACCCACACUGUGUGUCUGUGUUGUUUGUUGUUUUAUCCACGUUUAUAGUGUUAGACUCCCAUGAGUUGUAUUUUUAUUGUCAUAAGUGUUUUUAGAUAUUUUUUCUUUUCUUCCCUUCAUUCAGCAAAAUUGGACUUGGUCUGAAGAAAGAGCUUACUACCUCUGGGGCUUCUAAACCAACUCUUUCCCAGACCUCCUGAACUUAGAUGAUCCAGGGAUUGGGGACUGAGUAUUUUUACUUUCUCCCAAAGCUUCAUAUGGGGAGUUUACAUCCAAAACCUGGUUAGGAACUUUAUUCCUAUACUCAAGGUUUCAAAUACAAGAUGUCCACUGAAGUAUAAAUUUUUCUCUGUAGCCCUCAAAAUUUUGAACCUUGGUAAUUUUCAUGUUAUACCUUCUACCACUAUUUGUGUUUAACUUAAGGUUCUGGCUAUGUUUCCCAGGUUGCCCAUUACCUUCUGGGCUAGCCUUAGUAGCUGGGAUUCAAGGCACAUGCUCUUGAUGCUCAGCUUUAUUACUUGUUUUCCAAGGUCUUAAAAUGUGCUUCCUCGCCUUAGCUCCUAUGAAUACUGCGGCCAUGAACAUGAAUAUACAGAAAUCUCUUAGACCCUGCUUCUAGUUCUUAGCAUAGUAGGUAUUGUGGUUGAGUUUAAAGUAGAACAUCUUUGAACAAAAGCUCCUUAAAUCUUUCUGCUCGUUUUUUUUUCUUCAAAGCAGUGUUUCUAUGUAGUUCUGGCUGCCCUACAACUUGCUGUGUAGACCAGAUUGGCUUCAUACUCACAGAAGUCUCCCUCCUAAGUUCUAGGAUUAAAGACUUGCCAGCUUUUUGUAUUUUAAAUUUUGAAUUGUGGGUUUAAGGAGUCCUCUGUCUAUUCAGGAUUCUACCUCCUCAUCAGAUAAGUGAUUUUCCCUUUUUCCUCCCACUCUGAAUUCAUUGCCUCUCUUGGCAGUAUUUUUAUAUAAAAGUUUUUCAUUUUCUUGAGAUCCAACUUGUUUGUACCUUCAACAUCAUAGUAAGAAAUUGUUAUCAGCUACAAUGUCUUAAUGAUUUUGCCUUCCAAGUUUGGUUUUAUUCUUUUAACUCUAACUUUUAGGACUUUGGUACAAAUUGUUUUUUCUAUGUAAUUUUAAGGAGAGCUCAGCUUCAUUUUUUUUAUAACUAUUAAUGUCUAUAUUCUCACAUGAAAUGGCAGGAACAAACACUAACUGUAAAUUAAAUGUAUACACCUUUUGAAAAUUAAGUGCUUGGAAACAAAGUAAAAGUGUAUGUUCACUAACUGGAAUUUAUCUCAACAUAUUUUACUAAACUUCUGAUUAGCUCAUUAAUAAUACCUUUUUGGUUUCUAGAGCAAUGUUGAUCCCAGGGAUGAUGUGUUUGGAUAUCCUCAACAAUUUGAAGACAAACCACCACUGAGUAAAACAGAAGAUAGGAAAGAGUACAAUAUUGGUGUUCUAAGACACCUUCAGGUUAUCUUUGGCCAUUUAGCUGCUUCUCGACUACAGUACUAUGUGCCUAGAGGAUUUUGGAAACAGUUCAGGUAAAGUAGAUGGACAGUGAUAAACCACAUAUCUUAAUAAAUAGCUCAUAUUCCUAAAAUAUGUAUCUUAAGAUAUCUUUAUGUUCUAGCCUUGAUUAUGAAAAUAUAAGAUGCAUAUACAGUAGAAUUAUCGUAACAUAUAUUCCUUCCUACUACUUUCUAAAUUAUUUUGAGACACAGAUCACAGAUAAUAGUUUCACCUAUAAAUACUUCAUUGUGUGUCUUUGUUUUAAAACAUAAUGAAUCUAUUACUGUGCUUUUUAAAGAUCCCUUGAUAUUGAAUAUAUUCAGCAUUUCAACUUUCCCAUUAUCUCAUAUAAUUUUUCCCAAAUCUGAAACCAUGUGAAAACCAUAUAGCUUAAAUAGUAUUUUCUCUCUUUUUUUUCCUGCAUGUUCUUUAAGGUGCCCAGUGAGAUCCAGAGGCUUGAUCAGAUUAGCAUAUUUUUGGUUUUGUGCAGGAGAUAGGCAUGGCUAUUAGAUGGGUGAUAUGCCUAUAUAGUUUUACCUCCAUGAGGAGUUGGUACAUGGCAUUUUUCUGCCUCUUCUGAUGGUAGCAGCAAUCAUAUUAUUCAGCUUAUACAAUGAAAUUCUUCCAGCUGUUACUCUAUCAAAGGAACAGGUUAAUUUAGAGCAGUUUUGAUGAUUUGAAAUCCAAGAUUGAACAUUUGAAGGAGGAAGAUUCAUUGAUUGCCUUUUCAUAAUGAUAUAGAGGCCCACUAUUGCUGGAUUGUGUGUAGGAGAAAAACCAUGAAAGAAUAGACAAGGCCACCGUGCGAUGGUGGCGCACACCUUUAAUCCCAGCACUUUGGGGGGGGGGGUGCAAAGGGAGGCGGAUUUCUGAGUUCCAGGACAGCCAGGUAUACACAGAGAAACCCUGUCUC